AAAAUAAUCCUACCCUUUGUGAAUUUUGUUUGUUUGAAUAAUUUUUUUUUUUUAAAAAUUAUUGGAGUCUUUCCCUUUAGAGUUUGCUUUUGAGUUUGUAAAAGAAUUCGAAAACAUCUAAAGGGGAUGGUCAAUAAUUUUUUUUGAAAAAAGACAUUUUUUAAAAUUAAACUUUUUGUAUUCAUUUGUCUAAAAAUUAUUUUUAUAAUAUAAAAACAACUUUUGACAAUGGAUCUCUUGGUUCUCGCAACGAUGAAGAACGCAGCAAAAUGCGAUAAGUAGUGUGAAUUGCAGAAUACGUGAAUCAUCGAAUCUUUGAACGCAUAUUGCACUUUUUUAGUUUACUAAAAAGUAUGUCUGUUUGAGUAUCAGUAAAAUAUUCUCAUAAAAAUCAUUGUGUAUUUUUAUGGUUAUGAGUGUUUUACAACGAUACAAGUUGUUUCACUUUAAAUUUUUUUUUAAUAUUGAAAUUUUUCUAAUUUUAAUAAUUAAAAUUGGAUAAAAUUUUCCCGUCAAAAGAAUAACCUAAACAAUUUUAAAUGAUUAAUUUUAGCAAAAUUUUCGUAAAAAAGGAAAAUUUUUAUUAAAAUAACUUGAUCUCAAAUCAGAUAAGAGUACCCGCUGAACUUAAGCAUAUCAAUAAGCGGAGGAAAAGAAACUAACAAGGAUUCCCUUAGUAACGGCGAGUGAAGCGGGAAGAGCUCAAAUUUGAAAUCUUCAAGGUUUUACCUUGACGAAUUGUAGUUUAAAGAAGUGUUUUCUGCUGAAGUUUUGGUAAAAGUUCUUUGGAAUAGGACAUCAUAGAGGGUGAGAAUCCCGUAUUUGACCAUUAUUUUCAGCUUUGUGAUACACUUUCAAAGAGUCGGAUUGUUUGGGAAUGCAGUCCAAAAUGGGUGGUAAAUUUCAUCUAAAGCUAAAUAUUGGCGAGAGACCGAUAGCGAACAAGUACCGUGAGGGAAAGAUGAAAAGAACUUUGAAAAGAGAGUUAAACAGUACGUGAAAUUGUCAAAAGGGAAGCGUUUGACACCAGUGUUGUUUCUCGAAAAUCAAUUAAAAAUGGCUCGAUUUUGUAUUGCUUGAGACCUUAAAAGCUCACUGUACAUUUUUCGUGUCUUUUUUAAUGCACUUUUCCGUUUAACAAGUCAACAUCAGUUUCUUUUGUUGUAAAAGGGUCAUUGGAAGGUGGCUUUCUUUCGGAGAAAGUGUUUAUAGCCUUUGGCCUCUGCAAUCGAAGAGACUGAGGUCUGCAGCGUAGACUCUUCGGGUUAGAUACAUUUGUGCUAAGUUAUAGCUUUUUAUAGACAACUUGUUGACUAUAAUUAGUCUUGUAGCUUACUCGCUUAUGCUAUUU
rnacentral:misc_RNA from 1 species